UAGGAAGAUUUGUUGGACUGGAUCUGGAUGUAGACAAGGUGGAAGCGUGGGUGAGUAUUGAAUGGGGAUGUGACAAGGUUAUGGGGGUUUGGAAGUUGGACACAGGACUAAACUCUUCAUGUUCCACUGUAGAGAUUGGGCUGAGAAGGUGCUGGAAGCAAAACCAAAGAUGGAGAGGGACCUCGACCUCAGACUGGGGUGGUGGUUUCCUGCAGCAGGUGCCUUGAAUGAAGGAUGAAAGAGUAAGAGAAGGGCUAUUCGGAUUGCUGUGGUUGGAAUACCAUUACAUGCUUGGAGUAUCUUUACAUUUGAAGAGAUAGGGAAGUACUGCAGGAGGUUUUUGAAAUUUGACGAUGAUAAUAGGAGCUGGGAUAGAUUGGAUAUAUCUGGACUACUAGUAGAAGUAGAGGAUGUUGCAGACAUUCUGAAUAGAAUGAAGUUGCUAUUUGCAGUGGAAAGCUACGAAUUAAGGAUAGUUGUGGAAGGAGAAGAUUGUACAUCUUUGAUCUGGGCUUAAAAGAAUAGUGGGAAAGGCGAAGUUUCAUGUGAGGGGGAGGAAGGUUUUGAUAGUAGGGACAUAAAUCACAGUGCAGACAGUGAGAAGAUGAAGAGUUGUUCAGAGGAAGAUGGAGAUGAGGUGGGGGGAAAGAAGGGCAAUUGUGAUAUUUUGGAUAAAUUGAGUGAGGGGGACUUAAUAAGGAAGGACAUGUGGAAGGGAGACGGGGAGUAUAGAAAACCAAGGGACACAUGAAAAUGGUGGAGGUAAAGAAACAACAUGGGGGGCUGAGGGUCCUAAUGAGAUAUUAAGGUCGCAUGGGGCCCACAGGCUAAGAAGAGAUUUUAACAAUUUUCGAAGGAGCCAUGUCUCAAGAAGGAAAGGGGGAGGAUUUGAGAAAAUAGGGUGAAGAUUGGGUGUGGGUGAUAGGGAGGUUUGGGGAGGCGAGAAGAAGUUGGAGGUUUGGCCAGGGAGAGGUAUCUUUUCAGCGGAAGGAAAGUUAAAACAUCACAAGGAAGGAGACCUACAAGGAAAGAAAAUGCCAAGGAAGGUUGUUGCUACUCAGGGAGGAUGCUGCAGCCACUCAUAGGUAGUGUUUAGUGGGUUCUACACCACUAUUGUCCAGCUCUUCUCUUCUGGCAGAGGGAGUACUGGUGUUCUUGGUAAAAACACAGUCAAUAGAUGAAGGCAUAUAAUCAGUGAAUGAUGAAGAAGAUGUGAUGAGCACGAAAAGGCCUGAUGAUGAAACAGCCUGAGAAAGAGUUAACUGCUCCUAAACACUCUUAGGCUCUCGGCCAAGGUGGUGGUGGAGGAGAGACAUUCGGUGGAGCACCAUUGGAAUGAGUCUAGAGAAGAAGGGGAUGUUGGUAGGAAGAGGGAGACCACGGAAGAAGUUGGAAGGGGGGACUAGAAGGUAAUAAUGUUUAAUAGGAGAAGAAAAGUUGGGAGCCUGAUGCAGGAUCGGAAGGAGAGAAGGGAGGAGAGGAAGAGGUUAGGAAAGGGUGCCCAGCGAAAAAAGAGGGGGGAGAAAGAAGAAACAGUGAAGGGGAAAGAAGGGCCUUGGAAGGGCUCCCUAAAGGUAGUUUGGAAAUUAGUACUUUAGUUUAUUUAUCAAAAAAAAAAAAA